GACGAACCGUGCGAACGUUGUUCGGAUUCACUGGGCUUAAAGGGCGCGUAGGCGGCUCGCCAAGUCAGGGGUGAAAUCGUCCGGCUCAACCGGACAAGUGCUUCUGAUACUGGUGGGCUGGAGGGAGGUAGGGGCAGACGGAACUUCCGGUGGAGCGGUGAAAUGCGUAGAUAUCGGAAGGAACGCCGGUGGCGAAAGCGGUCUGCUGGAUCUCUUCUGACGCUGAUGCGCGAAAGCCAGGGGAGCAAACGGG
rnacentral:rRNA from 1 species